rnacentral:piRNA from 1 species
UGAAGUUCAGACCCUAUCUUUAGGGCCUAUUU